rnacentral:rRNA from 1 species
UACGUAGGGGGCGAGCGUUGUCCGGAAUCAUUGGGCGUAAAGGGCGCGUAGGCGGACGUUUAAGUCUGGUGUGAAAGACUGGGGCUCAACCCCAGGGCUGCACCGGAAACUGGGCGUCUUGAGGACAGGAGAGGAAAGCGGAAUUCCACGUGUAGCGGUGAAAUGCGUAGAUAUGUGGAGGAACACCAGUGGCGAAGGCGGCUUUCUGGACUGUAACUGACGCUGAGGCGCGAAAGCGUGGGGAG